GAUGAACGCUGGCGGCGUGCCUAAUACAUGCAAGUCGAGCGAACGUACGAGAAGCUUGCUUCUCUGAUGUCAGCGGCGGACGGGUGAGUAACACGUGGAUAACCUACCUAUAAGACUGGGAUAACUUCGGGAAACCGGAGCUAAUACCGGAUGAUAUUUUGAACCGCAUGGUUCAAAAGUGAAAGACGGUCUUGCUGUCACUUAUAGAUGGAUCCGCGCUGCAUUAGCUAGUUGGUAAGGUAACGGCUUACCAAGGCAACGAUGCAUAGCCGACCUGAGAGGGUGAUCGGCCACACUGGAACUGAGACACGGUCCAGACUCCUACGGGAGGCAGCAGUAGGGAAUCUUCCGCAAUGGGCGAAAGCCUGACGGAGCAACGCCGCGUGAGUGAUGAAGGACUUCGGAUCGUAAAACUCUGUUAUUAGGGAAGAGCAUAUGUGUAAGUAACUGUGCACAUCUUGACGGUACCUAAUCAGAAAGCCACGGCUAACUACGUG
rnacentral:rRNA from 1 species